UAGUGAGUUUGAUCCUGGCUCAGAACGAACGCUGGCGGCAGGCUUAACACAUGCAAGUCGAACGGUUGCAGCAAUGCAGCAGUGGCAGACGGGUGAGUAACACGUGGGAACCUUCCUAGGGGUACGGAACAACUCAGGGAAACUUGAGCUAAUACCGUAUACGUCCGUGAGGAGAAAGAUUUAUCGCCCUUAGACGGGCCCGCGUCUGAUUAGCUAGUUGGAGAGGUAAAGGCUCACCAAGGCAUCGAUCAGUAGCUGGUCUGAGAGGACGAUCAGCCACACUGGGACUGAGACACGGCCCAGACUCCUACGGGGAGGCAGCAGUGGGGAAUUUUCCGCAAUGGGGCAAAGCCUGACGGAGCAAGACCGCGUGAGGGAGAA
rnacentral:rRNA from 1 species